AAAGGUCAAAAUUUGGAGUCGACA
rnacentral:siRNA from 1 species